CAGUAAACCCAGGUAGAUACAUGUUAAAUCUAUUAUUUAUUUAGCAAAUAAGCAACUUUUGCAUGUUAAACACGAAAAACAUGUGUUGAUGUAUUAGAAUUUUGCCAACUUUCCGAUGUCUUUAAUAAUUAUAAAAACAAUAUAUUUAUUGCACUGCAUAAAAACACUGAUCUGUGCACUUUAUCAGGCUUCAUAAAUUUGCCUGCAUGGGUGGAUGUGUUGGAAAGCACUGUUCCCAGAUCAGUGCUGGUGGAGUUUUGGAUCCAGAGUUCACAUCCAGAUCCAAAAGUUCAGAUUAUGUCUGUCACACCAUCUGCUGCUGUGUUUGAAGACCCUGUGAUAAAUCCUACCAACAUCUCCAAUAUCUUCACUGUACAGAUCUUCUUGAAUGGUUCAUUGGACUAUGAGACAGACAGACUCUACACUAUACAACUCGACAUCAUUACAACCUCUCGCCCAGUGGAGCAAAGCUUUAAUUUAAGAGUCAUCAAUGUAAAUGAACCUCCAGACUGUGAAGCACACUUCAAGAUACCAGGUGCUGAGGUUCGUGUCCCAGAAGAUACUUCAGCUUUUGUGCCGCUGUACAGAGUAUUGACAAAAGAUCCAGAUGAAAAUGACACCAUCACUUUCUCCAUUAGCCACGUCAUGCCUGCAACAUCUCAGCUUUCACAUAGAUCACAGUGGGCGAAUCACCUCGAACCAAACCUUCGACUACCACAAAGGACCAAAGGAUUUUUCCGUGUCUGUUGUUGUGAGAGACAGAGCAGGAGCCAACUGCAGUGGUUUGGUGCACAUCAAAGUCCUUGAAGUUUUCAAAGAUUCAAUUGACUUUCUUUUUCCCAUUCAGAAUGUCUCUAUCCAAGAGAAUCAAGGGGCUGAGGAUUUUGUGGCAUCGGUGAAAGCAAAUCCAAAUAUUUCAGUGUCCUACACAUUUGUGACGACAUAUCCACCAUACAAAAUUGGGCGAGAUGAUGGUGUGAUCAGGACAUCCUAUAAUCUGGACCUGGAAUCUGACAGUACAUUAACUCAGAAUGUGCUUCUGGUCCGAGCUUUCAGUGAGUCUGAGGGCCAAAGCGGAACCGCUACAGUCACAGUUAAUGUGCUGGACGUCAAUGAACAUCCACCUUUCUGCUCCCCUGAUGUCAUCGUGUUAACAGUGGCAGAAACCACAGAGGUGGGCAAAAGUCUUGCUACUGUGGCCUGUGUUGACAUUGAUAUCAGCAAUUUCAAUGUCUCUCUUACUCUCAUCGAGAACAGCCUUUCAAUUUUUAAAUUUCGCCUGAGAAAUGGACAACUACAGGUAAACAGCAGUCUGGAUUAUGAUACUGAAGAAGCUGCUUCAAAUCAUUUCCAGUAUGAAGCUGUCAUCUUAGCCAUUGAUUCAGGCAUCCCAGCUUUAACAACUGAAGUCCAGAUUCUGGUCACAGUCACACCAGUAAAUGAGUUUGAGCCACAAAUUUUGGGCCCGCUGAUUCUGCCCGUCCCAGAAGAUGUCCGUCGAGGGGCUUUUAUAGGAGUAGUGAAUGCAAUAGAUAGAGACUGGCCCUUUAAUUCACUCAGACUGUCAUUCCCAGAAGGAGACUCAGCUUUCACUAUCGAUCCAGACGGAGGGCAGCUGUAUUUGAGUACAGAACUGGAUUUCGAAGAAAAGCAGUUUUACAGAGUUAAAAUUCAGGCUGUUGAUUUUGACCAGGACGUCGACAAAACCAACCAAAAGACAGGAGCCAAUGAUAUUAUCAUACAAGUUCAGAAUGUGAAUGACAACGCUCCGGUGUGUAACCCACUCUCAUAUAAAUCCAUCAUCUUUUCCACCCUUGGUGCCGGUGUUCCCAUUGUCACCUUCAGCUGCACAGACCCUGACAGAGAUCCUCUAAUGGCCACCAUCACCAAUGGUGCUGUCGUGGACCGAUUCCAAAUGAACGGUCUGAGUCUGACCUCUAAAAACCUCUUCUCCUACGUGCCAGAUGGUGUCUACGAUGACACCAUGUUUGAGGUCACCAUUCAGGUGUCUGAUGGGAAAUACAGCACUGAUGUGGUCGCUUACAUCACGGUCGUGCCCUGGUCUACCACGAAACCCACUACAACCACUAAGGGGGCGCCACAGGUAAUUACAGUGUUGAAGGAGUUUUGGGAUCCAGAACCUUGGUUUGUGGCUGUGCUUACUGUCACAGGAGUUUUACUGCUGCUGUCACUGGGACUGAUCAUCUGGACUGUGCUUAUACGGGUUCCCACACCUUAGUUAACUUCAAAUUCAAGGACCUUUCAAGGACUUUCCAGGUCCAAUACCCUCAAAUUCAAGGACUAAAUGGGGACACAUUUCAAGUGAGAGCAAGGUUUUAAGAUACAUUGUUACAGUUCCCUUUCAAGGGCCUUAACAACAAAGACAGGGUGACGCGGGAGCCAGGACGUACGGUCUUAUAGGGACGCAGGAAGUAUGGCAAGGGAGACGCAUUGUCUCGUUCCCUUCUCAGGGAACAACAGUUACAUACAUAACCUGAGACGUUUUCAUGUGUCAAAUACAACUAUGCAAAAAAGCAUUUUGCUAUGAAUCAACAUUCCCAUACAGAAGAUAUAAGCAUUUAAAGUGAACAGUUUAGCACGUGUGCCUAAAAAGUCUAGAAUUUUUAUGAUAUUAUCCUACACACAGGGAAUAAUUUUUUUUUUUUUUUUUUUAGAAAACUUCUUGCAUAAAAUAGAUUCAAGCACUUUCAAUGACCCGUACCUAUGCAUGUAUAUUUUCAAAAACUUCCCAGGGCCUUGAAAUUUUUCCCCCAGAUUCAUAAACUUUCAAGGAUUUCAAGGACCCGUGGUAACCCUGAUCAUUUUAAGUCAUCUUUAUGCCCCCUUGGAGAUCUGUUGAGGCCCUCCUGUGGGCCCCAGCGCCCUGGUUGAGUAACACUGGUCUACAUGAAUAUGUUGAAACACUUUAUCAGUUAGUUUUGCUUAGUUUUAACAGCAUUAUUUCUGUUCUAUCAGUACAUUAUUGUGUGGGACAGAACACCUCACUGAUUCUGUAUUUAAUGACUAUUUAAGUUCAAGACAAAGCUGGUCAGGUUUAAAAUUAGCAUUUUCUCCAUUUGUGAUUUUUCAGCACUAAUGUGAAUAACAAAGGCUCUGAGAAUCAUUCAGCAUCGGGUGACAAGGUGUCACUAGGUGGCAGCGUCAGUCUUCAAAAUAUCAGUGAUGUUGAAGAUGACACAAUGAGGUUUGAUGGAAGAGCUCAAGACCCAG